rnacentral:lncRNA from 1 species
CUCUGAGCACAAGGAUCACAGAUUCAACGUAAGCAAUGAACAUUCACACCUCUAUUUUUACCCGUCAUUCUUUGUUAUCAUUGAUAUUCAUAUUCAUCUGCUCUUCUUAUAUAGUACACGGCCAUGAGGACGAAGGUCCUACCAGAGCAACGCGCGAUUGCUGUUGCAGAGGAGUUUGCGGCCUUUCUGAGGAUGGAAGCUAUAGAUGACAAAGGAG